CUCGGCUCAGUACAGUAGUCAAGGCAAUAGUCAUAAUUAUAGUCACUCAGAAAUUAUAUCAAAUUUUAUGGAUGAAAUACCACGAUACUUAAAUCUGAAAAAAAACAAAGGUGAAUGUGAUGACUCCGUGUGUGAAAUCUACUUUAAACCGUACUAAAUGCUAGUUAUAUUCACAGACAAUGCAAAAUAUCAAGAAGUUCAACUGCAUUCAAACUUAAGUAAAAUUUACAAAGAACUUUUUCUUCAGUACUACACUAGGAUGGCAAACUGCUUUCAGAUAAUGAUUUAAAAAAGGUUGAACGACUACCAAUUAUUUUAUCCAGGGAAAGUACUGAACAACUUUUGGGUGUUCCAAAUUUAUACCCUGCGACUACGACUAAACAAUCUACUGCUAUAGUUGAUAUUUUAGAUGAUUCGAAACUGAAAAACAUUACAAAUGUGAUUUGUUUUGACACAACAAGUGUGACUACAGGUGAAUUUAACGGAACAUGUCAUUGAAAACAAGUUAGAUAGAAAACGUUAAAAAGAGUUAGGUGAAAAUCUUUUGUCCUUCGCUUGUCGUCACCAUAUUCGCGAUUUCGUUUUGAGAAGUACUGCAGAAACUUGUUGGCCCCUGAUGAAUAGUCCAAAUGUUCCCAUUUUCAGUCACUUUAGAAACAAUUGGUCAGAAAUUGAUCAAUACCGUUUUGAAAUCGGAGUACAAGAUAAUUUUAUUUACGCUCGUUAAAUAUGAGAAAGAUAAUAUUCUAUAGUUCAUUUCUAAUCAAACUAAUUAUGCAUUAUCCUCGCAAUGAUUAUAAAGAGUGAUUAGAUUCAAGCUGUGUCUCUUUAGGAGGUAUUUUCUUCUACUAUGAUAAUAUUUAAUGUAUCUGAAGCCGCGCACAUGCAGAUUGCGUGCGAAAGUCAUUUAUUGCUUAAAAAUAUAUAUGGUUAAGAGUCAAUUUCAUAAUCAGAGCAGAUGAGGGAUUGAAACUUCGUAUAAUAUUUGUAUUUAUGGUCAAAUUUAUAUAAAAGGUUGGUAAUAGUCCAAGUACUAUUAAAGCUCCGAAUCAAGAACGUAAUUGUCUCCAAGACCUUAUAAAAUUUAAAAACAUCGAUGUUAAAAUUUACAACGUUAUUGCUAAAAAAUUUGCAAACUAUUUGUGGUAUUUAUCAGAAGAAAUUGCCUCACUAGCUCUCUUUGAUGAUUCUGUGUCUCUGGAAGUAAAAUCAAAAAUGGUUGAAGCAAUUAAAACAGAGGAAAGUCAAACUGACAAAAACGUAUUGACAUUGAUCAUGGCAACUUAGAUAUAUUGUAUAUUACAAAUAUUGGUGAUUUUGUAACGAAGAAGUCGUUGAGUUUAUUCGAACAGUUCGAACUAUCGAGUGAUUUCCUUAAUUUACCUCCUUCAAAGUGGCCGAGUGACCAAACUUAUCUAACUUGCUUAUUGCUAUUAAAAAAUGUAAAGACAGUCAGCGAUAUUGCUGAAAGAGGAGUUGCUUUAGUUAGAGAAUUCAUUCAGUUUGGUUCUGAAGACGAAUAACAAAAACAGUAUUUGUGGAAAAUUUUAUAGUAUCAUCGAAAAUGAUACAUUUCAUGCAACUAACAAUAUUAUCUAAAUUUAACUAGUCAACAGUGAAAAAGAAAAUGUUUUUUCAACAACGAUAAUUCACGAACCAAUCGACUGAUUUUCACAUUUUUGACAGCAAUCAUCGUGUUUUUUUUUUAACUCUAAUAGUUAUUUUAUUUCAUUGGAAAUGAUCUAAAAAGAAAUGUCGAAGUUACGUAAAAAACCAUUUUUUUCGAAAUUGUUCAUUUUCGAUAACACCCGACCGAAGAAUAUGUGGUGAGACUUUCGCCUCCCAGAUAGCAAAUUGACUUCUGGAAGAAUACCGAAAGAGUUCUUAUUUACGAUUUAGACGUCAGAAUUCAUAUCCAAAAGAACACUUUACGAACUCAUCAAGACGUCGAAUGCGCCACUUUAUGAGCAAGUUCAGACUGCUUACGCAAGAGCUCAUGGGGAAUACUUUUUUCUGACUUCAGAAAUAAGAACAAAUUAAGAAUUCUUUUCUUGUUCAAUGAAAAUGACUUCCUGAGCGCCUUAUAUUUGGGAUAAAUAAUUUUUAAUU
rnacentral:lncRNA from 1 species